UUGCUUCAGCAGCACCUAUACUAAAAUUGGAACCAUACAGAGAAGAUUAGCAUGCCCCCUGAGCAAGGAUGACCCGUUAAUUUGUGAAGCAUUCCAUAUUGUU